UUUUUCAUAUUAAAGUGUUUUUUUUUUUCUUUUUUUUCUUCUUCUUCCUUCUUUGCGCGUUAUUCGGCUAAGGAAAAGUAAAGGCAAGG
rnacentral:ribozyme from 12 species